CAAGUCGAACGCGAAAGUUCCCUUCGGGGAGCGAGUAGAGUGGCGCACGGGUGAGUAACACGUAGGUAAUCUACCUUUGGAUUGGGAAUAACCAUCGGAAACGGUGGCUAAUACCGAAUAAUGCAGCGGCACCUAAUGGUGACAGUUGUUAAAGCGGGGGAUCGCAAGACCUCGCGUCUGAAGAGGAGCCUGCGGCAGAUUAGCUAGUUGGUAAGGUAACGGCUUACCAAGGCAAUGAUCUGUAGCCGGCCUGAGAGGGCGGUCGGCCACACUGACACUGACAUACGGGUCAGACUCCUACGGGAGGCAGCAGUCGGGAAUUUUGGGCAAUGGGCGAAAGCCUGACCCAGCAACGCCGCGUGAAGGAUGAAAUCCUUCGGGAUGUAAACUUCGCAAGAACGGGAAGAAUAAGUAAGAGCUAACAUCUCUUAUGAUGACGGUACUGUUUGUAAGCUCCGGCUAACUCCGUGCCAGCAGCCGCGGUAAUACGGGGGGAGCAAGCGUUGUUCGGAUUUACUGGGCGUAAAGGGCGCGUAGGCGGCCACCGCAAGUCAGUUGUGAAAUCUCUGGGCUUAACCCAGAACGGUCAGCUGAUACUGCGGGGCUAGAGUGCAGAAGGGGCAACUGGAAUUCUCGGUGUAGCGGUGAAAUGCGUAGAUAUCGAGAGGAACACCUGCGGCGAAGGCGGGUUGCUGGGCUGACACUGACGCUGACAGCGCGAAAGCUAGGGGAGCGAACGGGAUUAGAUACCCCGGUAGUCCUAGCCUUAAACGAUGAAUGCUUGGUGUCUGGGGUUUUAUAGUCCCCGGGUGCCGUCGCUAACGCUUUAAGCAUUCCGCCUGGGGAGUACGGUCGCAAGACUGAAACUCAAA
rnacentral:rRNA from 1 species